rnacentral:rRNA from 1 species
CCUACGGGCGGCAGCAGUGGGGAAUAUUGCACAAUGGGGGAAACCCUGAUGCAGCGACGCCGCGUGAGUGAAGAAGUAUCUCGGUACGUAAAGCUCUGUCAGCAGGGAAGAAAAUGACGGUACCUGACUAAGAAGCCCCGGCUAACUACGUGCCAGCAGCCGCGGUAAUACGUAGGGGGCAAGCGUUAACCGGAUUUACUGGGUGGAAAGGGAGCGUAGACGGCAGCACAAGUCUGGCGUGAAAUCCCGGGGCUGAACCCCGGAACUGCUUUGGAAACUGUGCGGCUGGAGUGCAGGAGGGGUAAGCGGAAUUCCUAGUGUAGCGGUGAAAUGCGUAGAUAUUAGGAGGAACACCAGUGGCGAAGGCGGCUUACUGGACUGUAACUGACGUUGAGGCUCGAAAGCGUGGGGAGCAAACAGGAUUAGAUACCCCAGUAGUC